GCUCGAGUCUUUCGGUUUCCGAUUUUAUUGGAUAUAGAAUUUUGUGCUAAACCUUACCCACUGUUUGGUUCCCGGGAAAAUGGUUGGAAAAUGUAUAACAAAUGAGCCCCGCAUUGGUAAAGUUGCUUGCUUCGGUGUGAAUUUGUUACUUGUGAAGUGGACGGUUUAGAUUGGUGACUGGUUUGAAUCGGACGGUUGUAGAAAUUUGGAUUCUUUUCCGAUGAUUAUUAGUUAUUUUUCUGAGAAAUCGAGGUUGUUUUUUUAGCUGUGGUUGUACGGUUUGAAGCAUUUGCCUGGAUUCAUUGAGAAAGCAGAGGAACUUAAAUCAAAGGGCGUUGAGAAAAUUCUCUGCCUUAGCGUAGUUGGUCUCGCAAUCACUCUCCCGUUGUCGCUAUGCAUUGCUGGUUUAUUGCUGUUACUCGAUGGGGUGCUGUCACAGAGGCUACUAAUGAGCUCACGAAUGAUAGCUUUUGAAUGAUCCCUUUGUGAUGAAGGCUUGGGCGAAAACAUACCCCGAGAACAAAGAUGUUCUUUUCCUUGCUGAUGGCUCAGCAAAAUACACCCAUGAUCUCGGCCUUGAGCUAGACCUUCCAGAGAAAGGGCUGGGAACUCGUUCUAAGAGGUUUGCUCUCUUGAUCGAAGACCUCAAGGUGAAGGCUGCAAAUAUCGAGAGUGGGGGCGAAUUUACCAUCUCCAGCGCCGAUGACAUCCUCAAGGCUCUUUGAAUAUUUACAUUCCUUCACCCCAAGCUUGCUGCCCCUUGUAUCUGAGAUUUGUGCCUCCCUUUCUUCAAAUUCUCACUUUUGUCAAAAUUCCAAAUUUAAUUCUCACAUCUCAACGUAAGGAGUUAUUUUGUGAUAUGCGAGGGACACUAUUGAAAUGAUAAUAAAUGACAUUUUGUGAUACCGGGA